CAGGCUCUGGAACACGGGAGCUUUAGUAGCUGCGGCUCCCGGGCUCUAGAGCAUGGG
ensembl:miRNA